CCCCAUUUUUUCCCCAAAAAAAUUCUUUCCCUCAAGAUAUGGUCAUAAUCUCAAUUCAAAUUUCCAAUGGAGUUGGCAACCAUAAUUACCCAUUUAAAUUUACCAUAGUGCUAACUUAAUCUAUUUUAUAAUAGAAUUUAAAAUAUAGUGUCAAAUCUUUCAUAUGGAUUUUUUUGUAAAAAAAAAAGAUGCAACAUUUGCAGAUAUUUUUACUGGUCUUCCUUUAUAAAUAUGUAUUUCUUUAAACAUAAUUUAAAAGCAGUGUAAGGGAAGUAACCAAAACGUUGUAUUUGGAUUACCUCCCUUACACUGUUUUAAAUUAUCUUUAUUGUUCAUUAACCAUUACUUUAUACAUAAUUUAAAAGCAAUGUAAGGGAGAUAAUUUCAAUGAUGUAUUUGAUUUAUCUCCCUUACACUGCUUUAAAUUAUGUUUUGUACUAAAGUAUUUGUCCAUUAACCAGGACAACCUUGUUUUUCCCCCUUUUUUGCCCCUAAUUCCUAAACGGUUUGAGCCAUAACCCCCCAAAGCAAAUCCUAACCAUCCCUUUGUGGUAUGGAAACUUGUAGUAUAAUUUCAGAGAGAUCCAUACACCGUUCCACAGUUAUUGUCUGGAAACUAGAAAAUGCUUAUUUUUGGCCCCUUUUUGGCCCCUAAUUCCUUAACUGUUGGUACCAUAACCCCCAAAAUCAAUCCCAACCUUCCUUUUGUGGUAUUUAACCUUAUGGUCAAAUUUCAAAAAGAUCCAUUCACUUAAACUAAAGUUAGAGUGCGAAAACCAAUGUGUCUUCGGACAACGACGCCGGACGACGACGACAAUGACGACGACGCCAACGUCAUACCAAUAUACGACCACAAAAUUUUUUUGCGGUCGUAUAAAAACGGGACCCAAAAUUAAAAAUCUAAAUACACGGUUAGAUUUGGAAUAUCAAAGAACCCCAAUAAUUCAAUUUUUGAUGAAAUCAAACAAAGUUUAAUUUUGGACCCUUUUGACCUCAAUAUGAACCAAUUUGAUAGCGGGGUCCACAAAUAAAAAAUCUAAAUACAUGGUUAGAUUCAGCAUAUCAAAGAACCCCAUAUAUAAUUUUUGUUAAAAUUAAACAAAGUUUAAUUUUGGACCCUUUUGACCUCAAUAUGAACUAAUUUGAUAGCGGGGUCCACAAAUAAAAAAUCUAAAUACAUGGUUAGAUUCAGCAUAUCAAAGAACCCCAUAUAUUCAAUUUUUGUUGAAAUCAAAAAAAGUUUAAUUUUGGACCCCAACUUGGACCAACUUGAAAACUGGGCCCCAUUAUCAAAAAUCUAAACACAUGUUUAGAUUCAGCAUAUCAAAGAACCCCAAGAAUUGAAUUUUUGUUAAAAUCAAACUAAGUUUAAUUUUGGACCCUUUGGACCUUAAUGUAGACCAAUUUAAAAAACAGGACCCAAAAUUAAAAAUCUAAAUACACGGUUAGAUUUGGCAUAUCAAAGAACCCCAAUUAUUCAAUUUUUGAUGAAAUCAAACGAAGUUUAAUUUUGGACCCUUUUGACCUCAAUAUGAACCAAUUUGAUAGCGGGGUCCACAAAUUAAAAAUCUAAAUACAUGGUUAGAUUCAGCAUAUCAAAGAACCCCAUAUAUUCAAUUUUGUUGAAAUCAAACAAAGUUUAAUUUUGGACCCCAAUUUGGACCAACUUGAAAACUGGGCCAAAAAUCAAAAAUCUAAAUACAUGUUUAGAUUCAGCAUAUCAAAGAACCCCAUAUAUUCAAUUUUUGUUAAAAUCAAACAAAGUUUACUUUUGGACCCUUUUGAUCUCAAUAUGAAGCAAUUUGAUAGCGGGGUCCACAAAUAAAAAAUCUAAGUACAUGGUUAGAUUCAGCAUAUCAAAAAACCCCAUAUAUUCAAUUUUUGUUGAAAUCAAACAAAGUUUAAUUUUGGACCCCAAUAGGACCAACUUGAAAACUGGGCCAAAAAUCAAAAAUCUAAAUACAUGUUUAGAUUCAGCAUAUCAAAGAACCCCAUAUAUUCAAUUUUUGUGAAAAUCAAACAAAGUUUAAUUUUGGACCCUUUGGACCUUAAUGUAGACCAAUUUGAAAACUGGACCCAAAAUUAAAAAUCUAAAUACACGGUUAGAUACGGCAUAACAAAUAAAUAAAUGUGGUCAAAGAUUUUACAAAUCUAAUGCGCCAUACUGUGCAAUUAAAGAUUACUUCUUGAAAUUUUUCAAUAUUUGAAAUUUGAAAAAAAAAAAUAUUUGAAUAAUAAUUCUUUUUAAUUUCUGAAGUCUGUAAUGAGAAAAAAUUGACCCCCCACAAUUUCUUUUUACACCCCCCCCCCCCCUUUUUUCCCAAAAAAAAUUCUUUCCCUCAAGAUAUGGUCAUAAUCUCAAUCAAAUUUCCAAUGGAGUUCGCAACCAUAAUUACCCAUUUAAAUUUACCAUAGUGCUAACUUAAUCUAUUUUAUAAUAGAAUUUAAAAUAUAGUGUCAAAUCUUUCAUAUGGAUUUUUUUGUAAAAAAAAAGAUGCAACAUUUUCAGAUAUUUUUACUGGUCUUCCUUUAUAAAUAUGAAUUUCUUUAAACAUAAUUUAAAAGCAGUGUAAGGGAAGUAACCAAAACGUUGUAUUUGGAUUACCUCCCUUACACUGUUUUAAAUUAUCUUAAUUGUUCAUUCACCAUUACUUUUUACUUGAUUUAUCUCCCUUACACUGCUUUAAAUUAUGUUUUUGUACUAAAGUAUUUGUCCAUUAUCCAGGACAACCUUGUUUUUCCCCUUUUUUGCCCCUAAUUCCUAAACGGUUUAAGCCAUAACCCCCCAAAGCAAAUCCUAACCAUCCCUUUGUGCUAUGGAAACUUGUAGUAUAAUUUCAGAGAGAUCCAUACACCGUUGCACAGUUAUUGUCUGGAAACUAGAAAAUGCUUAUUUGUGGCCCCUUUUUGGCCCCUAAUUCCUUAACUGAUGGUACCAUAACCCCCAAAAUCAAUCCCCACCUUCCUUUUGUGGAAUUGAACCUUAUGGUAAAAUUUCAAAGAGAUCCAUUUACUUAAACUAAAGUUAGAGUGCGAAAAACCAAUGUGUCUUCGGACAAUGACGACGCCAACGUCAUACCAAUAUACGACCGCAAAAAAACGAAAGUACAGUUUUUGACAACGUUAUUUUGCACAAAUAAAGUGUCUAAGGCAGAUAUAAGUACGCUGAUGUUGCACACUUCGAACGAUGCACUGCCAAUUUAACAGUUUACGUCAGAACUUCGAAUUUGAAUCAAAGAAAGUUUAAUAUCGUUUUUUUUUAAAUAUCAAUCAUUGGGUAUGGGAUGGCCAACUCGGCAACUGAUUACCAUAAUUGCCUUUUGUUUAUUUAGUCUUAAGGGAUUAAAAUCGGGAUAAUAUAUAAAAUGUCCGGGUGGCUAAAAAUAAUUUUGGAAGCCCUGCCAAUGAACCAUUAAAAUGAGGUCAAGGUCAGAUGACACCAGCUAGACAGACAUGUACACCUUACAAUCAUUCCAUACACCAAAUAUAGUUGACCUAUUGCUUACAGUACUUGAAAAACAGACCAAAACACAAAAAAUUAACAAUGACCAAUGAACCAUGAAAAUGAGGUCAAGGUCAGAUGAAACCUACCAGUCAGACAUGUACCCCUUACAAUCAUUCCAUACACCACAUAUAGUUGACCUGCUACUUGUAGUAUCUGAGAAACGGACCUAAUCACGUAAUUUUAACCUUGAUCACUGAUCCAUGAAUUGAGGUCGAGGUCAGGUGAUCCCUGUCUGACGGACAUGUAGACGUUGCAAGGAACCCAUAUACCAAAUACAGUUAUCCUAUUACUCAUAAUAAGUGAGAAAUUCACAUGACAAAAAAUUGUAAUUUUUUUUCAAGCAGUCACUGAACCAUGAAAAUGAGGUCAAGGACAAUGGGCAUACGACAGAGAGAGGGAAUCUGACAUAAAUGUAUUAUUUAACCAAAAUUUGGUUACUUCUGGUACUUUCUAUCAUUUUUCAGAUUUCUUCGUUACGUUUUCUCGUUUAGUAAUGGAAAGAGGCAGAGGAGGGACAACAUUUUGAUACAACAUGCAGAUUUGUCUUAUAUUAUAGAUCGGUCGCAUCACCUGAACAUUUGAAAUUUGUCAAAUAGGAUUAAAUAAAUAAGCAGUAGAAUACAGAAGAAAUAAUUAUACAAUCUACAUGUAUAGAUAAUAAACAAAUUUGGAAAUGGUCUUUAUUUGGUUGGAAUACAUGUAUACAUAUUUAUCCUCAUAAUGAACUUAUUAUUCCCAGGGGUUUAUUUCGUACUUAUUCGACAUUUAUUAAAUACUCAUUUAGUGAUUUUGUUUUUUUUAAUUUCAGUUUUUAUUCAAUACAAAAUUAUUAAUAUUGGACAUAAGUGAAAACUUGCUUUAAUUUCCUAGCAUGCAAAAGAAUACAGUUGAUAUAAAAACUUCAACAAAUUGAUCUUUUUCCAUAUUUGAAAUUGAUGAAGUGAUGCUGAAAUCUUGCAUGAUCUGAUAUGUUUCACUCCUCUGGGUGAAAGCCAAAAUUAAACAAGAAAUGAUUGUAACAGGAUGCUGUUACGAAGUCUCCCAAACGAAGCUCCCAUAAUUCGUAAUUCCCAGUGUCGCCUGACAUUUGACAAAGUCCAGUGAAAAUUGGUUUGGUCCAGUAAAGUUAAUGCAUAAGUGAUGCCUGGGGACUAACCCUGUAUAUCAUUCAAAUCAUCUUGGCAUGACAAACCAGAAUAUAUAUGGUUUAGGGGUGGGGAUCUCGACCAUUUACAAGAUACUAGAACAUUGGGGGUGGGGGGAAACCCAGUGGGGACUGACCGUAUACGUCAUUCAAAUGUUCGAGACAUGAUGAACAGGAAUAUAUAUGGUUUAGUGGUGGGGAUCUCGACCAUUUACAAGAUAUUAGAACUUUCUCAAAUGGCAGGAGGUCGGGAUGACCCCUGGGGACUAACCCUGUAUAUCAUUCAAACCAUCUUGGUAUGACAAACCAGAAUAUAUAUGGUUUAGGGGUGGGGAUCUUGACCACUUACAAGAUAUUAGAACUUUCUUAAAUAGCAGGGGGUGGGGGUGACCCCUGGGGACUAACCCUGUAUAUCAUUCAAACCAUCUUGGUAUGACAAACCAGAAUAUAUAUGGUUUAGGGGUGGGGAUCUUGACCACUUACAAGAUAUUAGAACUUUCUUAAAUAGAAGGGGUUGGGGGUGACCCCUGGGGACUAAUCCUGUAUAUCAUUCAAACCAUCUUCGCAUGACAAACCAGAAUAUAUAUGGUUUAGGGGUAGGGAUCUUGACCACUUACAAGAUAUUAGAACUUUCUUAAAUAGAAAGGGCUGGGGGUGACCCCUGGGGACUAACCCUGUAUUUCAUUUGAUGUGCUUUAUCAUGACAAACCAGAAUAUAUAUGGUUUAGGGGUGGGGAUCUCGACCAUUUACUAGAUAUUAGAACUUUCUCAAAUGGCAGGAGGUCGGGAUGACCCCUGGGGACUAACCCUAUAUAUCAUUCAAACCAUCUUGGUAUGACAAACCAGAAUAUAUAUGGUUUAGGGGUGGGGAUCUUGACCACUUACAAGAUAUUAGAACUUUCUUAAAUAGCAGGGGGUGGGGGUGACCCCUGGGGACUAACCCUGUGUAUCAUUCAAACCAUCUUGGUAUGACAAACCAGAAUAUAUAUGGUUUAGGGGUGGGGAUCUUGACCACUUACAAGAUAUUAGAACUUUCUUAAAUAGAAGGGGCUGGGGGUGACCCCUGGGGACUAACCCUGUAUAUCAUUCAAACCAACUUCGCAUGACAAACCAGAAUAUAUAUGGUUUAGGGGUGGGGAUCUUGACCACUUACAAGAUAUUAGAACUUUCUCAAAUGGCAGGGGGUCGGGAUGACCCCUGGGGACUAACCCUGUAUAUCAUUCAAACCAUCUUAGCAUGACAAACCAGAAUAUAUAUGGUUUAGGGGUGGGGAUCUUGACCACUUACAAGAUAUUAGAACUUUCUUAAAUGGCAUGGGGUGGGGGUGACCCCUAGGGAUUAACCCUGUAUUUCAUUUGAUGUGCUUUAUCAUGACAAACCAGAAUAUAUAUGGUUUAGGGGUGGGGAUCUCGACCAUUUACAAGAUAUCAGAACUUUCUCAAUUGGCAGGGGGUCGGGAUGACCCCUGGGGACUAACCCUGUAUAUCAUUCAAACCAUCUUAGCAUGACAAACCAGAAUAUAUACGGUUUAGGGGUGGGGAUCUCGACCAUUUUCAAGAUAUUAGAACUUUCUCAAAUGGCAGGGGGUCGGGAUGACCCCUGGGGACUAACCCUGUAUAUCAUUCAAACCAUCUUAGCAUGACAAACCAGAAUAUAUAUGGUUUAGGGGUGGGGAUCUUGACCACUUACAAGGUAUUAGAACUUUCAUUAAUGGCAGGGGGUGGGGAUGACCCCUGGGGACUAACCCUGUAUUUCAUUUAAUGGGUUUUAUCAUUUAGAACAUUUUCAAUUAAAAAGAUUGUGUCUUUCACAAACGGUUUUCAAUUUAUAAUCAUUUGAAAAUUUUAAAAAAUAAAAUCCCAUAGGGUUCUAUAGUAAAACCCUCUUUUCUUUUUGCCCCUCAAAGUACCCCUUUAUAAACCCCAUUGCACAAACAAAACCCUGAUUGCACCACUAGACAUGUUAGUCUAACAUAUUGUGAAACCCUAAGUUAAUCUGACAAGCGGUUUUGGAGAACGGGUGCGGACAAGUUCAAAUUUAAAAGCGGCGGAAGAGGAAGAGGAAGAGGAAGAAGAAUAAUAAUAAUAAUAAGAACUGAGCAAAAACAAUAAGUCUUCCCAAACUUCGUUUGGGAGACUUAAUAAUAAGAACUGAGCAAAAACAAUAAGUCUUCCCAAACUUCGUUUGGGAGACUUAAUAAUGAAGAACCAUAAUUUAAUCCAUUUGCACUGUUCUCUGGUAUUGACAUGAAGGCUGUGUGUAUGCCAUGGUGACCUGCAGUUUUAUUAUCCUCAUACUUAAUUCUAUGGUGGAUACCACCACUCCUAAUUUUAAAUAUAACAACUCGAACACACCUGCGAAAUCGCGGGCAUUUAGAGCGUGGUUGAAAGUGUGUAAACUGUAGUAGGAUGAAUUUUUGUAAAAGAUUUUAUGACUGGAGAAUUUCAGGAAAGGUAUCAAAAGUCAUAGGUACUGCAACAGGACAAUAUUUUCUAGCCCGCUUCCUUUUUUUCCAAAGUCUGUUAUUUUUUUGUUUUCUGUUAAUUUCAAUUAUUUUCGCGUUUUCUGUAUACUAUGAACAUACAUAAUUGUUUAUCAUAAAUAAAGUGUAUUUGCUAUUUA